UUAAUUGAAGCCAAAGCAGGAGAGGCACCUUAAUGUUAAUAAGGAUAAUGAAAUAAUUUCCAAUUAAC
rnacentral:tRNA from 3 species